rnacentral:snoRNA from 1 species
GAAGCAAAAUUGUGCCAUGAGUUCCCAUUAACGUCAACCUCUUUUUCUUCCAUAGGGAUGGUUUUUAGAUGUCUGAUGGGCGUUGCUUCAGUUGCGUAUGACUCAUGGUAGAUAAAUUUACUAGAAAGAUGUAUCUCCAGCUGUUGAUAUUAGAGGGGAAAGCCUUUCUCUUUCACCUCGCUUUUUUAAACACCUGAUACAGUUGGUCAUGAUUCGUUCUACAUUU